rnacentral:tRNA from 1 species
AUUCACAUAGAUCAUAUAUUAGAUCAUGACACUGAAGAUGUUAAAGAGGUUACUGUAACCUGUGAAUA